AAAAUAGGGAAUCCAGUGGAACACAACAUGCUAUGAAAGAUGACAAACUCAGUGCUACUACAUCUGUCGCUCAUUGUGGCAUGUUGCCCUGCACUGACAGAUUAGAGAAAAUCUGUGAAGAAGAUGACUUCUCGUAGAACACUGGACGGAGUGCAAAUGGCGACCUGACGCAGAUCCUAUCGUCAGCUUAGCCUAAGCGUCGGCACAAUGCCUUUCUAAGCAGAAAUCCCUCUCGGAAUACGCCGUGGAAAAAUGGAGAGGAGCAUCGAGAGGUUUCCGCUGUGCACUGAGGCAAGGGAGAACCUCUUGAACAUUACGCUGUGGCAGCACUGGGCACCGGCGGAGGAGGUGACGGAUGUCAAGGCAAAGCUGCAGAAUAGUCAAGAUUGGACCUAUAAACUACUGCCGCACCGGAGCAGACGCUGGCAGGCGGCGUUCAUCCCCGAUGAGGCGUUCAUUAUUUGCCUCUCCAGAUUUGACCAUCAAACUCGAUUUGUUUGCAGGUUUGGGUGUCGUCGUCAGUAACUCCUCCGCUGCCGUGGCUAUGCAUCGUGUUUUAUACAGGACGGGUGACUGAUCGAAGGCAGAGUAGGCAGCUGCCUAGGGUGCCACCCGGGGGAUAGAUGCUGUGGGUGUCCAGGUCUUAUCAGUGGAACCCCCUCAAUUAAAAAAAUUCCCUCCUGUUGGAAUA